GUUCAGUUCAAACAUGUUGUAUGGUGCGGGUUGAACCCAUGGUUGAGCCACAUCCGGCCCAUUACACUUUUUGUCAUAGUCUUUAGUAUUUUUAUUGCCCUUAUUUAAAUUUUCCAGAACUUCGUGUUUUAUUUAAGAUAAAUAUUAUUUCUACGCACCACUUAUCUAUUUUGGUAACGUUUUUUCACAAAAGUGACAAAGUAAGACCUACCGGGAAAUCCUAAUCUGGCCACUGAGCUUCCGGUCAUGUGUGCUAACCUGCGUGAGUUACGUCAGUUUUUUUCUCAACCGUCUACCAAGAAGCGGGAUUUUUUUCGGCUAAUGGACGAUUCAGUCAAAAUGUUCAGGUAACCCAAACUAAACAAGCGACGCUGAGAAGAGGGAGGACAGAAGAGAAGCGGAGGACUUUACUGCUGAACCGACGACAUUAGAUACGUUUCUACUCACCAGGCUUCAAGUUCAUCAAAUGCUAGCGAUGUUGACGUUUAGCCGGAGGCUAACGUUAGCUUGGUUAGCUAUACACUCAACUGAGAACUGGAUGUGUACCUGAGCGGUGCUGUUGAUGUCUCUGCUGAGCGCGGGGCACGGAGGAUGAACUGCUAAUGGGAAGGAGAGGGUGAAGAUGUCUAGACAGAGCAGAAGAUGGAGGACAGCCAUAUUCAGCACAACAUCAUGAGACAGAACAGGACCGAGUUAAAGAGAGACUUUCUGCUGCUGCUAUGGUCAUGAAAAGGGGAGCGGGCGUCCCACCUCCCUUCAUAUCCACGUCCCCUCCUGCAGGCCCUGCGACAGCCCACUGAGCAGAGAGACAGGAAAUGGGGCAGAGAGACGCGACAGCUCAGCACGAGACUGGAACCAAACCCACUGACACACACAUCUGCACGGAUACACCAGAACCACCAGGAAGCCCCAUUUGUUUUCUAACUUGUCGCCCCAAGAAAUGCUUUUCUGCUUCACUCACGACUGAUUAUUCCCCACAUGUCCAACAUGCUGGGAUACAGUUUUAAAUAAGCUAUAAAUGCUUUGAAUCCCACGUCAGGAAACAUCCUGACAUUUAAGUCUGCAGUGGAUAACCGUUAGCUGCACAGCCUCUGCCGUUCAAAGGAUCCUAUAUUUUCUUUAGCAUGUACUUCCAGCUUCGUGUCGUAGUUUUAACACACUGCAUCCAGCCCUAGACAGCUGUAUGUUAGCAGUGUUAGCAGCCAGCUAACAGGUUAAGCAGGUUAAUUUAUCAAAGUCCGAUGUUAAAGUUUAACCACCUAAACAAGCUAACCAGCUCCUACAGUUAGAGUUAUAACUGACUCCACUUGAAGUGAAGUGAGACAAGGUGCUCAGACUGUGAGCAUUAAAUUUCAUUGGUUCCUCAGUACAUCAAUCAAACGACAGUAGCCAGUCAGACAGAUAGAUAGAUAUAUUAAUAUUAAUGUUAGAUUUUGGUUCUGUAACCCUAUCAAAGGGGAAGUCUUAGUUCCAAGCAUCAACCUCAAAGACUGAAACAUGAAGCAUCAACAGUGAAGAACCAGCAGCUGCAGUUCCUCUAACGGCCACUAGAGUCUGGCUCCAACAGUGAGUCAGUCCCCAUAGACUCCCAUGUUAAAAUGUCCAACUUUACAGCAGAAAUAAACAUGUUUACAGCCUGGUACAAAAACUGUUUUGGUCUCUAGAGCUAAUUUCCUCCUUCAUGACACCUGUUUAUAAAACUCACCUGUUUAUGUUUUAUUAAGGACUGAAGUUAUG